rnacentral:rRNA from 1 species
AUUGAACGCUGGCGGCAGGCCUAACACAUGCAAGUCGAGCGGGGUUUUCGGACCUAGCGGCGGACGGGUGAGUAACGCGUAGGAAGCUACCCGAUAGAGGGGGAUACCAGUUGGAAACGACUGUUAAUACCGCAUAAUGUCUACGGACCAAAGUGUGGGACCUUCGGGCCACAUGCUAUCGGAUGCGCCUACGUGGGAUUAGCUAGUUGGUGAGGUAAUGGCUCACCAAGGCGACGAUCCCUAGCUGGUUUGAGAGGAUGAUCAGCCACACUGGAACUGAGACACGGUCCAGACUCCUACGGGAGGCAGCAGUGGGGAAUAUUGGACAAUGGGCGCAAGCCUGAUCCAGCCAUGCCGCGUGUGUGAAGAAGGCCUUCGGGUUGUAAAGCACUUUAAGUGGGGAGGAAUGGCUCUUGGCUAAUAACCUUGAGCAGUGACGUUACCCACAGAAUAAGCACCGGCUAACUCUGUGCCAGCAGCCGCCGUAACAC